AAGGAUACACAUUUAAAUAUUAUAUCAUCUCAACAGCACACAAUUGGUGCAGUGCAAGAACACUCUCCCAGAAUUUAUCACACAUCAAAUGCAACAACAAGGAGAAUGCUCCAACCACACAGAAUGCAACCAACGCGUAUAACCUUACAAAGGCAAAUUGCACUAUCGCAUCACAGAUGUCAAGGGCAAUCAUUAAUUGUACAGUCAUAAAUGAAUCCUCAUAAACAAGGUACACAAACAGGAGACUAAUAAUAUUGGUAAAGUUAUUAGAUAUCA